rnacentral:rRNA from 1 species
UGGGGAAUUUUGCACAAUGGAGGAAACUCUGAUGCAGCGACGCCGCGUGAGUGAUGAAGAUCUUCGGAUUGUAAAACUCUGUUCUUAGUGAAGAUAAUGACAGUAACUAAGAAGCAAGCCCUGGCUAAAUACGUGCCAGCAGCCGCGGUAAUACGUAUGGGGCAAGCGUUGUCCGGAAUUAUUGGGCGUAAAGGGUACGUAGGCGGUUUAAUAAGUCCUAAUUAAAAGGCUAUGGCUCAACCAUAGUAUGGUUAGGAAACUGUUGAACUUGAGUAGAUGAGGGGAAAGUGGAAUUCCAUGUGUAGCGGUGAAAUGCGUAGAUAUAUGGAGGAACACCAAUGGCGAAGGCAACUUUCUGGAAUCAAACUGACGCUGGGGUACGGAGGCGUGGGGAGCAAACAGG